GCGGAAAUAGCUCAGUUGGUAGAGCAUUGGCUUCCCAAGCCAAGGGCCGCGGGUUCGAGUCCCGUUUUCCGCU
rnacentral:tRNA from 1 species